CACCAUCUAAACGACGAGGAUAGGUCGCAAGCUUGACAUCUCUUUUGGUUUUUGACUUGGUCGUUCAAACACCAGUACCGAAUAUCCCCAACAAACCUCGCGAAAUCACUACCUAAAACCCCUAAUUUUGCCAUACAUGAAACCAAAACCCCCAUUUUCCAAGCCAUUCUCUCAUUUUUGCUUCUUUCUCAGCCCCGAUUCUCGCAUCAUUCCCAUCCCGAAAACCGAAUUUCUAGGGUCUCAUGGAUGAUAACAAAGAAAAAGUUCGUGACCUCACCGUUUCGAUCCCUAAAACGUCGAAUUCGUAUCACUUGAUCCCAAAUCCGUCGUUGAAUCAAUCUUCAUGGCUUGAAAUUCGACUCUUUUAUGUCCGGAUUGCUCCUUGCGUGAUGGACAGCGUUCCCGAUCACCUCACGCUCUGCCAUUUCCGUCGCGAGAUCGGCGUUUCUCUUGAAAUCAAUGGUUCCUAUAUCCCCGCUGCAGAUUCAGCCUCCCUCACACUCCGUCGCGAUCGCCUCAACAAGGAUUACCCCGAGGUUACUUAUGUGAGCACAGAUGGCGUACGUGUUACGGGCAGUAUCGAAUUUGAGGUGUUGGAGAACGAGGACAUGAUUCUCUGCGGUUCUUUGGAGAGGAUGGAGUCUACGUGGGGGAAUGGGACCGUGGGAUUGGAGAUUGAUUCAAGAACUGGUUGGAGUAUGGAUUGCUAUAUGACCGCAGGCAUUGGGGCUGGCAGUUCAGCGUUUUUUCAGCCGAGGCUGGGGGUAUCUGCACCUGCAAUUGAGAUUUAUAUCGCUGGGUGCUGUGGCGGUGUGCCUGUGAUAUUAACAAAGACGAUCCAGGUAAGUCCAAGGAGAAAAGGUUUGAGGCAUGGGACGCUUGAUGCGAUUCCUGAGGAUGAGGAGUUUGGGAGGGAGCAGAAGGGUGGAAAUGUACUGGUUCGCCACAGCAAAGUGCAGAUAACAGAAACAGAUGCAGACACUGAUGCUUAUGACAUGGCCGGAAAAAUUGGAAACAGCUACUAUUCGGAAGAGAUGUACACUGGUGAGGAUGGCCAACUCUCAUGGUUCAAUGCUGGUGUUAGAGUUGGUGUUGGAAUUGGCCUAGGGAUGUGCCUUGGGGUUGGGAUUGGUGUUGGACUGCUCAUGCGUUCGUAUCAAGCAACUACCCGAAAUUUCAGGAGGAGGUUUUUGUGAGUUGACUCUUUCCAUUUUGGGAUUUUGCUAAUCUGGUUCUAUGUAGAGGGAAUGAAGUCUUCCACCAUUUGGUGACAAAGGCAUGAAGAGUUCAACAUUGUGGCCAAAGAGGUAACAUAGAAGGGCCAAUCAGGCAAUCAAUUAAAGCGCACUUUUUGGUGAUGGAUGGAGGCUGUACAGUGUUCUUUUUUUAUUAAGAUUUCCCUGGAUAGAAAUCUUACGUGAGGAGUUGCUGAAAGUCUCCCAUCUCGGUUCAAUGAUCAUUGAAAAUAAAAGGUGGAUAUCUCGUGUGUGAUUCAAUCUUUGGACCCGGAGUAUUCAGAACUGGAACAUAUUAAGGCGCUUUUGUUACGACCACUCGUUGGAGAGUUCACUUGUUCGGAGGCCGGAAUGAGCUUCUGUGGUGCACGAGUCUCUCAUGAAGGUGUGUUUCAUAAUUCUUGCCUAGACUUGGUGCACCUGGUAUGCAUGGUGUUGUGGGGUUUGUGGAGAAACAGAAAUGAAAUUGUAUGGAAUAAUAAGAGACAAACCGUUUCCCAAGUGUUGAAUUUAGCAAGCUCCUUCCGUUUCCAAUGGCAAUCUGCCCAAGUUCUUCCCAAUGGUGAUCAGCUGCCAUUGAUGGAUGAAGGGGUGGUUUGCUGACAAAAACCAAGUGUUGGCUGGUUGAAGUGUAAUGUGGACGGUGCUUUAUUCCAGGCUCAAAAUAAAUUGGGGUUCGGCUGGGUGUUACGUGAUGGUUUGGGUCAAAUGCAGGCUGCUGGUAGUGGUGCUUUGAGAGGGUUUUUGGAUGCUAGGUUGGCUGAAGCUUUAAGCUUUCGUGAGGCCCUUCGGUGGUUAAGAGAUAAUGCUAUUUCCAAUGUUAUUAUUGAGUCUGAUGCGCUGAUCAUCGUGCAGGCUAUGAAGUCUUCAUGUUUGGAUAGCUCUUACAUUGGCGUUAUCAUUGAUGAUUGCAAAUCUCUUUUGAAGGAGAUAAACAACUAUAGGAUUUCCCAAUACCUCUGUAAUUUCCUCU